GAUGAAGAACGUAGCGAAAUGCGAUAAGUAAUGUGAAUUGCAGAAUUCAGUGAAUCAUCGAAUCUUUGAACGCACCUUGCACCCUUUGGCAUUCUGAAGGGUAUGCUCGUUUGAGUGUCAUUGUACUCUCACACUCCCGAUCUUUGCAUUGGGAGCAGUGGACUUGGGUUUGCUGCUUCACCGUCGCUUACCUCAAAUAGGUUAGUGUAACUCUUGGUUGGACAUAGUACGGCGUGAUAAGUGUUCUUCGCCGGUGCCUCGCAAAGAGGGUGGCCGAUCGGGAUGUUGUGCUCCAAACCGUCUUCGGACAAUCUCUGACGACUUGACCUCAAAUCGAGUAAGACUACCCGCUGAACUUAAGCAUAUCAAUAAGCGGAGGA
rnacentral:misc_RNA from 1 species